ACGCUCGACACCUACGGAGGCAGCAGUGGGGAAUAUUGCACAAUGGGGGAAACCCUGAUGCAGCGACGCCGCGUGAGCGAAGAAGUAUUUCGGUAUGUAAAGCUCUAUCAGCAGGGAAGAAAAUGACGGUACCUGACUAAGAAGCACCGGCUAAAUACGUGCCAGCAGCCGCGGUAAUCUGAGCGGGCUGGCAAGGC
rnacentral:rRNA from 1 species